GCCCGGCUAGCUCAAUCGGAUAGAGCGUCAGACUCUUAACUGAGUACGGGUUCUCGGUCUCCUCGACUGAUACACUUGCCAUCUGAAGGCUGCGAGUUCGACCCUCGCGUUGGGCU
rfam:Plicaturopsis crispa FD-325 SS-3 unplaced genomic scaffold PLICRscaffold_12, whole genome shotgun sequence.